rnacentral:rRNA from 1 species
GGCGGCGUGCCUAACACAUGCAAGUCGAACGAGAAAGUUGGCUUCGGCCGAUGAGUAAAGUGGCGCACGGGUGAGUAACGCGUGGAUAGUCUGCCCCUGAGUUCGGAAUAACGUACCGAAAGGUGCGCUAAUACCGGAUAAUACUGAGUGACUACUGUCACUUAGUCAAAGAAGGCUUCUGUUUACACGCUUUUGCUUUGGGAUGAGUCCGCGUACCAUUAGCUAGUUGGUAGGGUAAUGGCCUACCAAGGCGACGAUGGUUAGCUGGUCUGAGAGGAUGAUCAGCCACACUGGAACUGAGACACGGUCCAGACUCCUACGGGAGGCAGCAGUGAGGAAUAUUGCGCAAUGGGGGCAACCCUGACGCAGCAACGCCGCGUGAGUGAGGAAGGUUUUCGGACCGUAAAGCUCUGUCGAGCGGGAAGAAAUGCAUCAUGGCUAAUAUCCAUGGUGCUUGACGGUACCGCUAAAGGAAGCACCGGCUAACUCCGUG